rnacentral:rRNA from 1 species
AGAUCUGCAUUGGGUGUAAAGGGUGCGCAGGCGGUUUUGUAAGACAGAGGUGAAAUCCCCGGGCUCAACCUGGGAACUGCCUUUGUGACUGCAAGGCUGGAGUGCGGCAGAGGGGGAUGGAAUUCCGCGUGUAGCAGUGAAAUGCGUAGAUAUGCGGAGGAACACCGAUGGCGAAGGCAAUCCCCUGGGCCUGCACUGACGCUCAUGCACGAAAGCGUGGGGAGCAAACA